UAAUGAGUGAUGAAGAAAAGUAGUAAUAAAUAUUUUACUUUAAAAGAGAGUUAGUGAUUGGUGGAAACUAAUAAGUAAAAAUUUAUGAACUUGUUUUGGAGCUUAAACGUAUUUCUUGCGUUAAAAGAAUUAAAGAGCAUAGUAAGUCUAUGAAGUAAGGUGGUACCGCGAUUUUGUCGUCCUUACA
rnacentral:ncRNA from 1 species